CGCUGGCGGCGUGCUUAACACAUGCAAGUCGAACGCACCUUCGGGUGAGUGGCGGACGGGUGAGUAACGCGUAGGUAAUCUACUCUUCAGUGGGGGAUACCCAGCCGAAAGGUUGGUUAAUACCGCAUACGCUCCUGUGCAGAGAGGUACAGGAGGAAAGGUUUACUGCUGAGGAAUGAGCCUGCGUCCGAUUAGCUAGUUGGUGGGGUAAAGGCUCACCAAGGCGACGAUCGGUAGCUGGUCUGAGAGGACGAUCAGCCACACUGGAACUGAGACACGGUCCAGACUCCUACGGGAGGCAGCAGUGGGGAAUUUCCGCAAUGGGCGAAAGCCUGACGGAGCAACGCCGCGUGGGUGAUGAAGUUUUUCGGAACGUAAAACCCUUUCGCCAGGGACGAAGCGAGUGACGGUACCUGGAGAAGAAGCAUCGGCUAACUACGUG
rnacentral:rRNA from 1 species